rnacentral:rRNA from 1 species
GACGAACGCUGGCGGCGUGCUUAACACAUGCAAGUCGAACGGAAAGGCCCUGCUUUUGUGGGGUGCUCGAGUGGCGAACGGGUGAGUAACACGUGAGUAACCUGCCCUUGACUUUGGGAUAACUUCAGGAAACUGGGGCUAAUACCGGAUAGGAGCUCCUGCUGCAUGGUGGGGGUUGGAAAGUUUCGGCGGUUGGGGAUGGACUCGCGGCUUAUCAGCUUGUUGGUGGGGUAGUGGCUUACCAAGGCUUUGACGGGUAGCCGGCCUGAGAGGGUGACCGGCCACAUUGGGACUGAGAUACGGCCCAGACUCCUACGGGAGACAGCAGUGGGGAAUAUUGCACAAUGGGCGGAAGCCUGAUGCAGCAACGCCGCGUGCGGGAUGACGGCCUUCGGGUUGUAAACCGCUUUCGCCUGCGACGAAGCGUGAGUGACGGUAAUGGGUAAAGAAGCACCGGCUAACUACGUG